AGCAGCCGCGGUAAUUCCAGCUCCAAUAGCGUAUAUUAAAGUUGCUGCAGUUAAAAGCUCGUAGUUGAAUUUCGGGAUCAGUUGGUCGGUCGUGCCUCGGUACGUACUGGUCAAAUUGAUUCCUACCUUCUGACGAACCACGAUGUCAUUAAUUUGGUGUCGCGGGAAAUCAGGACUGUUACUUUGAAAAAAUUAGAGUGUUUAAAGCAGGCUCGCGCUUGAAUACAUUAGCAUGG
rnacentral:rRNA from 1 species